GAUGAACGCUGGCGGCGUGCCUAAUACAUGCAAGUCGAGCGAACAGACGAGGAGCUUGCUCCUCUGACGUUAGCGGCGGACGGGUGAGUAACACGUGGAUAACCUACCUAUAAGACUGGGAUAACUUCGGGAAACCGGAGCUAAUACCGGAUCAUAUAUUGAACCGCAUGGUUCAAUAGUGAAAGACGGUUUUGCUGUCACUUAUAGAUGGAUCCGCGCCGCAUUAGCUAGUUGGUAAGGUAACGGCUUACCAAGGCAACGAUGCGUAGCCGACCUGAGAGGGUGAUCAGCCACACUGGAACUGAGACACGGUCCAGACUCCUACGGGAGGCAGCAGUAGGGAAUCUUGCGCAAUGGGCGAAAGCCUGACGGAGCAACGCCGCGUGAGUGAUGAAGGUCUUCGGAUCGUAAAACUCUGUUAUUGGGGAAGAACAAAUGUGUAAGUAUCUAUGCACGUCUUGACGGUACCUAAUCAGAAAGCCACGGCUAACUACGUG
rnacentral:rRNA from 1 species